UGUGAAAGUCUGAGCUAGACUUAAGUAAAAUACACUGAGGCCUGUGCCUGGGCAACUAUGUUCAGUAAAAGCUAACUCUAGUUAAGUUCACUUUAGAAUACUUUGUAACUGUCCUGCUAUGAAGGAGAUUUAAAUGCAGAUGUGGAAAGAAUUCCAAAAUAUAGAUGGCAUUCCUUUGGAAGAGAGGCUUCCAAUUUUCAUUUUGUACCUUUCCAAACGGACUGAAUUUUCUAAUCUUCCCCGUGGGUUACGUAAUAUAUCAACAGCGGUUAUUAAGAUAUAUGCCCAGGAGUGGGAUUGCUGUAUCACAAAAAUGAACUCAAAAUGACUGAAAGACUUAAAUAUAAGACAUGAAACUAUAAAACUCCUAGAAGAGAACAUAGGCAAAAAAUGCUCUGACAUAAUCAUAACAAUGUUUUCUUAGAUCAGUCUCUCAAGACAAAAGAAAAAAAAGCAAAAACAAACAAAUGGGGCUUACUCAAACUUAUAAGCUUUUGCACAGCAAAGGAAACCAUGAACAAAAUGAAAAGACAACCUAUGGAAUGGGAGAAAAUAUUUGCAAAUGAUGCAACCUACAAGGGCUUAAUAUCCAAAAUAUACAAACAGCUCAUACAGCUAAAUAUCAAAACAAACAACCAAUCAAAAUAUGGGCAGAAGACCUAAAUAGACAUUUCUCCAAAGACAUACAGAUGGCCAACAGGCACAUGAAAAGAUGCUCAACAUCCCUAAUCAUUAGAGAAAUGCAGAUCAAAACUACAAUGAGGUAUCACCUCACACUGGUCAGGAUGGCCAUCAUCAGAAAGCCUACAAACAGUAAAUGCUGGAGAGGGCGUGGAGAAAAGGGAACCUUCCUACACUGUUGGUGGGAACGUAAACUGGUGCAGCCAUUAUGGAGAACAGUAUGGAGCUUCCUUAAAAAACUAAAAAUGGAAUUAGAGUUCUUAAUUGCAAUGAAAAGGAACUGACUGGGGAUGACUUAAGUAGAAAUUUAUUUAACAAGAGGAUUUGGGGUAAGUCUCAGAAUUAAUAGCAAGGUUGAAGGACCACACUUGGAAGAGAACAUGGGGAAACAAAAGGAAGCUGGGGACACAUUGCCAUCAUCAAAAUCACUCCAGAGAGCAGCUCAUCGUGGACCCCAAUGUCAUUACUGCUGAAGCCUGGACCGACAGGUCACUUCACCCACUGAGCCUGAACUUUAGGAUGCCUCCACCGCACAACUGCCAGUGCUGUCUCUGGAGACUGUGUUGUUUAAAAUUCUACGACCUCCGGAGGAGUUGUCCCCAUCUAUGCUUUUGGGCCUCCCCUUGGCUGCCUGUACCAGUUGGAGUUUGGGAUUGCAAUGUAACAGACAGUCUAAUUUACUGGAAGGAUGUGAAGGCAGCUCAAAGAACUGAAGGGAAGGCUGAAGGUCCAGCUGGGAACCAGCAGCAACUCAGGAUCUCAUAGACGGGGUGAAGCAGGCGCCAGCCGACAAUCCCUUGAGAGGUGCAGAAGAGACUUCUUCACUCGGUGUGACAUCAAAUUGAAGUUCCUUUCAAUGGCAUGAGUCUAUGAUUUGGAGCAGAAAGAAAACACCAGAUCUCUAAAGGCCACUCCCAAGGAGGAUGCUGUUAUAUUUUAAAGUCAUCUGCCAUAUCUCAAUUGUAUUAACCAUUUCUGGUCUUAUUUAUUGACUAAUACAUGUAUAAGACACCAUUUUAAGAACAGGAAGGGAUUUCAGGGUUUGAUAGGUUUGCUUGUCCUUUUACAAGUUAACUAGCUCAGUAAUUGAUUAUGUCCGAGCUUAUUCUGGAGGACUGGCUGUCCUGCUGCUAACAAGAAUUAUUAAAUCUGUUAAUUCAGUCUGAUAUCAUCCAGCCAUGUUCCAUAGGCACAGAUAAUGAAGGCAAUUUAGGUAACGGAAGUUACAUAAUUUAUUGCAGGGCUAGCUUUUCUAUCUUCCACACCCAGUUUUGACCAUGUAGCAAUCAGAAGAAAGAGUUGCAAGCAUUGUUUAUGACUAGAAGGACUGUUACUAUCCUCCCAGCACAAAAGUAUAAAACACACACACACACACACACACACACGCACACACAUGCAUUCACACACACACUUCCACGGUGCUUGAAACAGCAUUAGAGUCUCUUCCGGGAGAUAAUGUGGCAGUGCACUUUUUCACUGAGACUGCUGCUCCUGGAAGGUACCCCGUACCUAUUUGUGGUGUUCUUAUCUUCCAGUUUGGGAAACAGAAAGAUGCGUCACUGGAUUAAGGAUAGUGAGAGUGAAAAAUGACAUGGGACCUUGAAGCAGCUUAAAAAUAGGAAAACAUCCG